rnacentral:rRNA from 1 species
CCUACGGUGCGCUGCAGUGGGGAAUAUUGGACAAUGGGCGAAAGCCUGAUCCAGCCAUGCCGCGUGUGUGAAGAAGGCCUUCGGGUUGUAAAGCACUUUCAGUGGGGAAGAAAGCCUUGGGGCUAAUACCCUCGAGGAAGGACAUCACCCACAGAAGAAGCACCGGCUAACUCCGUGCCAGCAGCCGCGGUAAUACGGAGGGUGCGAGCGUUAAUCGGAAUUACUGGGCGUAAAGCGCGCGUAGGCGGUCUGAUAAGCCGGUUGUGAAAGCCCCGGGCUCAACCUGGGAACGGCAUCCGGAACUGUCAGGCUAGAGUGCAGGAGAGGAAGGUAGAAUUCCCGGUGUAGCGGUGAAAUGCGUAGAGAUCGGGAGGAAUACCAGUGGCGAAGGCGGCCUUCUGGACUGACACUGACGCUGAGGUGCGAAAGCGUGGGUAGCAAACAGGAUUAGAUACCCUGGUAGUC